GGCAGCAGGGGCAGACCCUUCAGCCUUCAGGCUGUAUGUUUGGAAGGCUGGCUUAGAUCACAGCUGAAACUGAGCUUGUGGUUGGCAAACCCUUGGCUGCAGACCCAAGCCACGUACAGGUGUUGUGUUUCUUCACUGCUCUCCCGAUAGAAACCACAAGCAUACAGUAUCAAGUUUCUCCUGCAGGAAACAUUUCUCCUGUGAAAGAGAGCAAGCUUCCUCUUUCAAGGAGGAAGAUAUCUCUUGUGGACAAGUUUCUCCUGCAGGAAAGACCCCUGGACACUUCCUUAGUCGCAUACAGCAUGAAAAAGCAGAAACACCUCUUGGAACAACAGCUUUUCACCCGAGAGCGCCGCAACUUGGUCUGAAAGCAUCGGGAAGGUACAAAGCAGCACACAUCAUGCCCUCUAAUUGCUCGUGGACGUGUGGGAGACAUGGACGAAUAACUCAUAAAUGUUAAUGAGACAUUUAAGCAUAAAUCACCUGUAUAUCAAGAUGAGGACAGCCCCCUGAAGUCCUUCUCCUAAGCACUCUAGGCUGUGACAAGGGGGUGAUAAGGUAUCCUACUUACCAGUGGCAUAAUUAGUUUCUGCCUUGUGUCCGCAGUUUUUGGCAAUUAGCAGAAAUGUCCCAUUUACUACCGUAGACAACCCGGAAUUCAUGUUUUGCUUGAUGUAACUCCUCCCACUCUAAUAUGCUGCAUUGUCCAUUCAUUUGCCUAAUUAUGUGUAUUACAACUGCAUAAGGCUCACUGUAGCAGCAGGGGUCCUUACUCUGGAAUGAGGAGGAUGAUUGUUCCAUCUGUUCCUUCUGAGCUGAAGGGAAAAGCUGAGGGGGGAGGAGGGGGUGAUGGUGGAGAGAGGAAUUACCAUUUAGUGCAGGUGUCUCUGGAAGGGGAAUCCCACUGCCAGGUGCCAACAGACAGCAUUGCCAACCUCCUGCGUAUGCUUAAUUACAGUAUAUUGAGACUUCCCAUGUAAAAUCAGGGCAGGCAGUUGCAACUGAAGUUUUGAAGCAGACACAGGGGAAUGCGGUUGCAAUGAAUCUAUCUCACUACGGAGACCCAUGUUCAUAAUUCUGGGAGAUUCAUAUCCCAUUCAAAAAUACUUGCCUGGAAUUAAAUGAUUAAUUUUAAAAUCGGAAUGUAGCAGAGUAAGCGCAGAAAAUAGCGUCACAAUAUUUGAGUCUGGGAAUCUGUGUUUAAAUGACGACAUUUUAAAAUGCAAAUAUGGCAGCCCUUAAUGAUAUAGGUCCUAAUUCAGGACAGCAUGUAAGCUCAGAUUUGAACGUAACCAGAGAGAGGUAACCAAAACUCAUAGGAGUGAAUGCAGGUUUGAAUUCUCAUUCUGGCGUUGCCUCAAACUGACAAUGAAGCCUUGGGUACAUUUCUGCAGUCCUGUCCUCAACAGCCCUUUCCCCUUUGCCAUUCCACUUAGUGUCCAAUUGCUAAUUCCACUUAGACCCUUUUCUGCCAUGCUGCUCACAGAUAAAUCUAGCUGACUUAUACCUAUAACAUCCCUCUAUACUCUUACCUGUUUGUCCAUUUGGCAGUGAGUAUUUUGAGGUCCUGUCUUGAGUAUGAAGAAAGCUCCAAGUCAGGGGUCAGCAACAUUUUUGGGCCGAGCGCCGAAACCAUCCACUGUCUCGACUUGUAAGAUGUUGGCGUGCCAGGGGUGGAUGGUGGGGGAGCCGCGAGGCACCUGAUACUCAUUAUGGCAGCACUUUCCCCAUUGUCUGCCACAAGGUGUGCAUGUCAAGCAAAAUGCCUUUGGAUGCCAUGCUCUGGCACCUGUGCCAGGGGUUACCUAUCUGUGCUCUAACUCAUUGUACUGUUGAAAUAAUGCAGGGAGAAAGGCUGGUGUAGACAAGACUUCUGCAAGGAUUGCCAUGUGUUAUAAAGUUACAGUGUCCUGGG